UCUAUUUGGAAAGAAAAAAAUUUCACCCAGGGGUUUGGAUUUUUUCCCCCCCUGCAAGGGAAACGGAGGCGGGGUUUAGCCCGUUCUGGGACAGGUUAUUUUUACCUUAUUAAGACAAAAACGUUGUUGCGACAGCAUUCUUGGGUAGUAGGGGAGGACCCGCAGGUACGGACCAAUGGCACAAUAUUUGUUCGAGGGAACAGUGGUAUGACGCUACGUUCGUUGGAUUAUGCCUGAACGCCUCUAAGGUCGUAUCCGUGCUGGACUGCAAUGAUAAAUAAGGGGCAAUUUGCAUUGUAUGGCUUCUAAACCAUUAAAAGUUUUUAAUUUGUUUUAUUAACGACAAUGGAUGUGAUGCCAAUGUUAUUUAUAACAUAGUAAAUUGGGAGGAUCUUCGAUCACCUGAUGCCGCGCUAGUUAUAUUUUAAAACAUUAUUUAAUACAAUGUCAAAGCCUAGAAUCAAUUGUAAACGACUUUUGUAACAGGCAAGGUGUUGUAAGUGGUUGAGCAGCUGCCAUACUGCGAUCCACUGAAGCUUAUCCUUUGCUUGAUGAUUCGA
rnacentral:ncRNA from 1 species